rnacentral:rRNA from 1 species
AAAAACUACAAGCAUAAGCUCAAAACUCAAAGAACUUGGCGGCGCUUUAGACCCACCUAGAGGAGCCUGUCCUAUAACCGAUAACCCCCGUUAAACCUUACCUUCUUUUGCAUCCAGUCUAUAUACCGCCGUCGUCCAGCCCACCCUUUAAAGGCAAAAUAGUAGGCAAGACUAGUAAAGCCCAAGACGCCAGGUCAAGGUGUAGCAUAUAAGAAGCGGAGAGAUGGGCUACAUUUCCUAACUCAGGGCUUCACGAAAAGUAUUUUGAAAUAAAUAUAUUGAAGUAGGAUUUAGCAGUAAGUAAAAAAUAGAGAGUUUUACUGAAGCUGGCCCUGAAGUACGCACACACCGCCCGUCGUUCUCUCCUAGCCUUAAUUUUCUAAUUAUAUAAAACAAAACAUCUGCAAAGGAGAGACAAGUCGUAACAUGGUAAGAGUACUGGAAAGUGCUCUUGGACAAAA